GCCUUCACUUUCAGAUUCUUUAGUGUCUGAGAAUGAAAGCCCAGCUGCAGCAUGAGGAAGACAGUGCCAGUGGGAGGCGGAAGAGACGUGAUGAGGACGUGGGAACAGUAGCAAGCUGGACUCCAGCAGGCACACGAAGCUACCGAAGCUGCCGGAGUCCGUUCCUGAAUACGGGCUGUGAGGCCCAGCUCUUUCACUCCUGCACCUCUAGCCCUGGAAAGGCCCUCGUCGCAACCAGCGUCCCAGCAGGACGCAGCCGCCAUCUCAAGAACUUUUGGACACCUUUGAACUCACCCAGAUGUGCAAGGGCUUUGGGGAACCUUCAAGGCAUGAUUCUAUAACCCAGGGUUCUAAUAACACAGCAGUUUGUUCCCUUGGACCCCGUGGUGGCAAGAAUGACUGGGACCUGGGAGACACGCGUGGAGAAGGCCACCGUCAAAGGACCAGCAACCUUCAGGUCAGAGAAGACAGCCGGCUCCAGGUGUGCCCGUGGAGAGAGAGCUAUGGACCAAGGACCCCAGACUCUACAGUUCUGCUCCCGGUCUCCCAGCAGGAGUCUUCACCACAGUGAAAUCCAGCUGCAGUUCGGAGGGCAAGGAAGCUUGCUGCUAUCUAAAUAGGAAGUGUGUUAGCUGAGUUGUGUUCCAGUGACUGUCCCUGGCUAGGAGUAACACAGGUGAGAAUGCUUGCCUGAUAAGGCUUACUGCUAGGGCAUAGCGUGAGGAGAUCUUUGCAGUUCAAUCCUCACAUUCACAUCUCACACUCCCCGUGAGUGGAGCAGGGGGCAGGUUGUGGGCAGACAGGGACAGGGCCCAGCAGCUUUGCUGAUGGUAAGCCCUUCUGAUUUGUUGCUGAGACUGAAGGGAGAAAUGUGUUGCUAUCGAAAUUGCUCAUUCUUCCUGAAUUGCUAAUGCUUCCUUGAGGAUUUACGGGUUCAACACUACUGAACUGGGGAUUGGGAGUUAGACCGAGUGGCUGACCUACUUCACCACUGUACUGGAAAGAACAGCCUGGCUCACGGUGGAGUUGAGUUCUGGGAGUUAAGAAGAACUUGCCGCUUGUGAACUCUGCAGUAGGAAGAGGUGAAAGUUGAGCGUUGGUUCAACAUGGAAGUUUUGGAGAGGCCUGAACAAGUCUCUGUGUUUUGGAGGAUGAGUCCUUCCAGCAAGGGCCUAAAACCCUCAAUUUAAUUUAAAGACACCAAGCGUCCCCACAGCCCCAUUGACACAUGACUGCAGCUCACUCCAACACAUGCUUUUAGGCAUGGUGUCCAGGGUUAAAUGUUUACAAACACUGCACUUUCUUUGCAGGGCUGGAUCUGGGAGUUCAGUUUGCAUAUUUGUUAGUUUUAUCAACAGAUUCCAGGAAAAGAACUUGGGGAAAAAGACUUACAAAAAGAAGGAAGACCAGAACAAUUUUCUCAUGAAAUUUUGCAUCAGAGACACUUUUUUUCCAUAUUUAUUAUACAAGUUUUAUUCAUUCAUCCAUUCAGUAAAUGCUCUUUGGGAGGCUACUUUGUGUCAAGGCGUUGCAGAUCCACGUUGGAGAUAACAUCAAUAGCAGAAAAGCAAAAACAGUACCAAAAAUCUGUGAUUCUGGCCCUCAUAGAACUUAAAAUUUCAUGGGAGACAUGGCUGCUAAUGAAACUGAUUUUAGCGGUAAGUGCACAGUUAAUAGCUAGGCUGUUUGCAAGAGAAAAUGAAGGCAUUGCUUUUGGCCGCACCCACAUAUCCACUGACCAAGUGCACACACCUUCUUUACCUGGUCAUCCAAGCCAGAGCCUGUGAGCAGUUCAGGUCUCAGCUUCUUCUACUCCUCAUAGUAUUCAAAGGCUCUCAGAUUCUACCUUUGGAAGCUGCACAAACCCAUCUCUGCCAAUGCACACCCAUGGCAUUGUGUUGGGGCUGGGCCAUCUCCCUCAGCUUCCUGGAGCAGGAGGGAGCCUCUCACCUCCAGAGCUACCACCAUCCGGGGCACUGGCUUGGAAAGCAAGGCUGCUGGGCCAGCAGCAAGAGCUGCUGCAAACUAACUGAAAAUGCACAUACUUGGAUCCAAGUGCAGACCUACUGGACUGGGGGCUCUGGCCAUG